rnacentral:rRNA from 1 species
UACAGAGGGUGCGAGCGUUUGUCCGGAAUCACUGGGCGUAAAGGGCGUGUAGGCGGUUGAGUAAGUGGAAUGUGAAAUGCCCCGGCUCACCCGGGGACCGGCAUUCCAUACUGCUCGGCUCGAGUAUGGGAGAGGAUGAGGGAAUUCCUGGUGUAGCGGUGAAAUGCGUAGAUAUCAGGAGGAACACCGGUGGCGAAAGCGCUCAUCUGGCCCAAUACUGACGCUGGAGGCGACGAAAGCUAGGGGAGCAAACGGG